GCUCAGGUGGUGGAAUGGCAGACACGCAUGCUUGAGGUGCAUGUGCCGAAAGGCGUCAGGGUUCAAGUCCCUGCCUGAGCACCA
rnacentral:tRNA from 1 species